CCUACGGGUGGCAGCAGUGAGGAAUAUUGGUCAAUGGACGAGAGUCUGAACCAGCCAAGUAGCGUGAAGGAUGACUGCCCUAUGGGUUGUAAACUUCUUUUAUAUGGGAAUAAAAUGUUCCACGUGUGGGCUUUUGUAUGUACCAUAUGAAUAAGGAUCGGCUAACUCCGUGCCAGCAGCCGCGGUAAUACGGAGGAUCCGAGCGUUAUCCGGAUUUAUUGGGUUUAAAGGGAGCGUAGGUGGAUUGUUAAGUCAGUUGUGAAAGUUUGCGGCUCAACCGUAAAAUUGCAGUUGAAACUGGCAGUCUUGAGUACAGUAGAGGUGGGCGGAAGUCGUGGUGUAGCGGUGAAAUGCUUAGAUAUCACGAAGAACUCCGAUUGCGAAGGCAGCUCACUGGACUGCAACUGACACUGAUGCUCGAAAGUGUGGGUAUCAAACAGGAUUAGAUACCCGAGUAGUC
rnacentral:rRNA from 1 species